GUCCAGGGCCAUGCCACUCUGAAUGUGCCCGAUCUCGUCUGAUCUCAGAAGCUAAGCAGGGUUGGGCCUGGUUAGCACUUGGAUGGGAGACCACCUAGGAAGACCAGGUGCUAUAGGCA
rnacentral:rRNA from 1 species